rfam:Gossypium hirsutum cultivar TM-1 chromosome 10, whole genome shotgun sequence
GGCUGCGGAUGAAGAGAAAUGUGAAAUAUACAGUUAUCCCUGGCUGAUCAUUAAUUUUAAUGUGCUGAUAUUUCAUUGAAAUCUGACGCAGAG